UUGUCCUCAUUCUACUCUAAGCCUGUUUCUUCAACUGUAGAAAGAGAAUACAUGCCUACCACUCUGACACCUGAGAUGAAAGAGUUGACCAAGACCAAGGGCACUCUUCCCUACCAGAGCAUGGUGGACACCUGAGGACCAGAGGAAUUCUAUGGCAAAGAACUUGGGUUCUUUGAGGAGAAGGCCACUGGGUCAGGAGUCCGUGCAGCUCUUUACAGAUCUACCCUCAUCUUUGCUGAUCUGAUCGAUGCAGAAAACCAGAGUCUUGGCCUUAGGAGGCAGAGAAGAACAAGUGGGUGUACGGAUCCAAAGGGUGGUCUCGGAUGCUAAUGCUGCAGGAGAAGAGCCUCCUCGCCACGUGCUGCUGGCCAAGCCUGAGCCCUGGGGGCCGCCCUCGUGCCCGCAGACUGUCUUACACAGGACGCCUGAUGUUGAGAGGGGAGAAGCAGGGAGCCAGCGGGAGUGAAGGGGCUUCCCACACUCUCCUCCCACAAACACAGGAAUAAGUAACUGGGGAAACUGUGGGCUUCUGCAACCUGAGGCUCAAGAUGGGCUGGCUGCUAAUUUCCUGGAUGUUGAAGAUCAGAGGAAA